rnacentral:misc_RNA from 1 species
GGAGGGAUCAUUAACACGUAUCCAAACACGUUUCAAACUCAAACCGUGCUCCCUUUGUUUCUUCCCCCCAUUGGUGAAGAAGGUGUACUAGUAAGCCAUCAGAUGGAUUGUCUCUCUGUCUCUUCUCUCUUCGGAGGGGGGGGCGCAGAGGAUACUGCUUGCAGUACUACGAUCUCUUCGAGGAUCAGCCGCUUCAUCUCUGGGUGUAAUUUUUCUCUCAAGCCAUCUGGGUUAUUAGUACCAACCCGGUUCCGACCCGGAGUCUAGUAACCUUAAUAAACCCAAUUUUUUUAAACCCCUUUCAUUGUAACUAAUUUACUGACUUACUAAAAGCUAUGGGUAAUCCCUGGUUUUUUGAUAUACGAAACGCGAACAACUCUUAGCAAUGGAUAUCUUGGUUCUCGUACCGAUGAAGAACGCAGCGAAAUGCGAUACGUAAUGCGAAUUGCAGAAUUCAGUGAAUCAUCAAAUCUUUGAACGCAAAUUGCGCUCUCGGGAUAGACCUGGGAGCAUGCCUCUCUGAGUAUCGGUUCUAACUCUACUCGUCAGCGUACUUCUUUUUUAUUAACUUAAAAAAGGGGUAUCGACUGCACGGAAAAUGAGUGUCUCUAUCACACAAGUGGGAUGGAGUCACUUGAAAAACAUAGCGGAACACUUGUCCGAUUAGCACUUGUUUACAGGUGACGUGGAUAGAACUACCCCUUUGGGUGUUUCAAAACGUCAAUGCCUGGUCAAACUGAGUUGCUUUGCGGGCUGCUUCUGUUCCGAAAGAAAUACGCUAUCAUGGUGUGUACCUUUGUGUACUACUUAUGAUACUUGAAAAUAGAUCUCAGAUGAAGCAAGAGGACCCCCUGAAUUUAAGCAUAUUAUUAAGGGGAGGAAAAGAAACUAACAAGGAUUCCCCUAGUAACGGCGAGUGAAGCGGGAUGAGCUCAAAUUGAAAAUCGGCAACCCAUGCGGGUUGUCGAAUUGUAGCCUAGAGACGUAUUGUCAGCGUGUGGCCCAGGUAUAAAUCUUUUGAAACAAGGUAUCAUAGAGGGUGAGAAUCCCGUCUUUGACCUGGAGACCGCCGCGUACGACGUACGUUCAUCGAGUCGAGUUGCUUGGGAAUGCAGCUCUAAAUGGGUGGUAAAUUUCAUCUAAAGCUAAAUAUCGACGAGAGACCGAUAGCGAACAAGUACCGUGAGGGAAAGAUGAAAAGAACUUUGAAAAGAGAGUUAAAAAGUACUUGAAAUUGUUAAGAGGGAAGCGCUGAAAACCAGUCAUUAUCUAUAACUAUACUUACUAUUUGCUCUCGAAGGAUGUUGCGGAUCAGAGUGUAAGCCUGAUCGGAUAUCGGACGAAGGGUAAGUGGGUCCUGUAGUUGUAGAUGGGUCAGAAUCAAUUCGAUUCGCGGGUGAAGACUAUGGGAAAGGUAGGAUCUCCGGAUCUGUUAUAGUCCUAUAGGCCCGACCGUGGGUUGGAUUGAGGAUGUCUAAUAUGCGCCGCAAGGUUUCGAUUGCUUAUCUCUGCUGAGUUAGUCUGCUUUGGAGAACAAUGUUCUGCGGGUAGCGAAGCUUGGUACUGGGUGGGACAAUCAGAUGCAUAUUCGCGAUUCUGACGAAAUGGUUUUCAUCGACCCGUCUUGGAACACGGACCAAGGAGUCUAACAUGUAUGCGAGUAUUUGGGUGGCAAAACCCUGAUGCGUAAUGAAAGUGAAGGUAGUUUCGGCUACUGAGGUAGGAAUCCGGCAACGGAGGCACUAUCGACCGAUCGUCACUUGUGAUAGAUUUGAGUAAGAGCAUAUCUGUUGGGACCCGAAAGAUGGUGAUCUAUGCCUGAACAGGGUGAAGCCAGGGGAAACUCUGGUGGAGGCUCGUAGCGAUACUGACGUGCAAAUCGUUCGUCUGAUUUGGGUAUAGGGGCGAAAGACUAAUCGAACCAUCUAGUAGCUGGUUCCCUC